rnacentral:rRNA from 1 species
AUUGAACGCUGGCGGCAUGCCUUACACAUGCAAGUCGAACGGCAGCACGGGUGCUUGCACCUGGUGGCGAGUGGCGAACGGGUGAGUAAUACAUCGGAACGUACCUUAUCGUGGGGGAUAACGCAGCGAAAGCUGUGCUAAUACCGCAUACGCCCUGAGGGGGACACCAGGGGAUCGAAAGACCUCGCGCGAUUAGAGCGGCCGAUGCCUGAUUAGCUUGUUGGUGGGGUAAAAGCCCACCAAGGCGACGAUCAGUAGCUGGUCUGAGAGGACGAUCAGCCACACUGGGACUGAGACACGGCCCAGACUCCUACGGGAGGCAGCAGUGGGGAAUUUUGGACAAUGGGGGCAACCCUGAUCCAGCAAUGCCGCGUGAGUGAAGAAGGCCUUCGGGUUGUAAAGCUCUUUUGUCAGGGAAGAAACACCGGCUCUAACACAGUCCGGGAAUGACGGUACCUGAAGAAUAAGCACCGGCUAACUACGUGCCAGCAGCCGCGGUAA